GAAAGUAAUUAAGGGCGCAUGGCGGAUGCCUUGGCUCAUGGAGGCGAUGAAGGACGUGAUAAGCUGCGAUAAGCCGCGGUAAGGUGCAAAUGACCCUUGACCCGCGGAUUUCCGAAUGGGACAACCCACCCGCGCAAUACGCGGGUAUCACCGCUAGUUUCGGUGAGGCGAACCGGGGGAACUGAAACAUCUUAGUACCCCGAGGAAGAGAAAAUAACUUAAUGAUUCCCCCAGUAGUGGCGAGCGAACGGGGAAGAGCCCAAACCGGCGUUGUGGCGACGCAUCGCCGGGGUUGUAGGACCGCGACAUUGUACCUUGCGUGUGAGGGGAAGCCUCUGGAAAGUGGCGCCAUAGCGGGUGAGAGCCCCUUAUCCGAAGCACAAUUGGGCAUAGCGGUAUCCUGAGUAACGCGGGACACGAGAAAUCCUGCGCGAAUCCGCCGGGACCAUCCGGUAAGGCUAAAUACUCCCAUGAGACCGAUAGCGAACCAGUACCGUGAGGGAAAGGUGAAAAGCACUUCGACAAGAAGAGUGAAAUAGUUCCUGAAACCAUGCGCCUACAAGCGGUCGGAGCUGCUCAUGCAGUGACGGCGUGCCUUUUGCAUAAUGAACCUACGAGUUACCGUAUCUGGCAAGGAUAAGCGGCAGGAGCCGCGCAUCCGCAGUGAAAGCGAGCCUGAACAGGGCGUUUUAGUCAGAUGUGGUAGACGCGAAACCAAGUGAUCUACACAUGUCCAGGAUGAAGUCCCGGUAACACGGGAUGGAGGUCCGAACGGAUAAGCGUUGAAAAGCUUCCCGAUGAGGUGUGUGUAGGAGUGAAAGGCCAAUCAAACUUGGAGAUAGCUCGUACUCCCCGAAAGGCAUUUAGGUGCCGCGUGCAGUGUUCUCCCCAAGAGGUAGAGCGACCGAUAGGACGCGAGGGCUUCACCGCCUAUCAAGUCCUGACGAACUCCGAAUGCUUAGGGGACAGAAGCUGCGCAGUAAGGGGACGGGUGCUAAGGUCCGUUCCCGAGAGGAGAAGAAUCCAGACCGCCGUCUAAGGUCCCGGAGUUCUGCCUGAGUUAGUCUAACGAAGUCUGGUCCCCGCGACAGCCAGGAUGUUGGCUUGGAAGCAGCCAUUCAUUUAAAGAGUGCGUAACAGCUCACUGGUCGAGGGUCCGGGCGUGGAUAAUAAUCGGGUAUAAGGCAGACACCGAAGACGCGGGAUAGUAAUGUACAUUAAAAGUAUCGGUAGGGGAGCAUUCCAUCGGCGUCGAAUGCGGUGAGGCGAUCACCGCUGGAGCCCAUGGAAAAGCAAAUGUAGGUAUAAGUAACGAUAAGGAGGGUAAGAUUCCCUCCCGCCGUAAGACUAAGGUUUCCCGGGCAAUGCCAAUCAUCCCGGGGUCAGUCGGGUCCUAAGGCUCAGCCGAACGGCGAGGCCGAUGGCAGAAAGGGUUAAUAUUCCCUUACUGCCGCACGGAGCGACGCGGAGACGGAGGCGUGACACCACCGCGGAGAUACGGAAUUCUCCGUUGAAGAGCGUAGGCGUUGAGGGCGGCAGGCAAAUCCACCGCCCGAGUCGAAUCUCGAAAGUAUGCCUUUCCCUUCGGGGCGAGGCAAUAGCGUGGGUAACCAUACUCCCGAGAAAAUCCGCUAAGCUCAAUCCGUGCGGCACCCGUACCGCAAACGGACACACGUAGUCGGGUAGAACAUACUGAGGCGUUGAGAGAUUCAUGGUUAAGGAACUAGGCAAACUGACCCCGUAACUUCGGGAUAAGGGGUCCUCGUCGCAAGGCGAGGCGCAGAGAAUAGGUCCAGGCAACUGUUUAACAAAAACACAGGGCUGUGCCAACUCGAAAGAUGACGUAUACAGCCUGACACCUGCCCGGUGCCGGAAGGUUAAGAGGAGAGCUCAGAGCUUCUGCUCGAAGGUUCGAAUUGAAGCCCCGGUAAACGGCGGCCGUAACUAUAACGGUCCUAAGGUAGCGAAAUUCCUUGUCGGGUAAGUUCCGACCUGCACGAAUGGUGUAAUGA
rnacentral:rRNA from 1 species